UGUUUAGAUAGUGUAAAUAUAACACUUAACAUUUUCACUGUUAAAAUCUUUGUAGUUUAAACUU
rnacentral:tRNA from 1 species